UAGGACGAGGCCUUUUUUCUUGACAUUCCAGAUGCCGCGCUAGAAGCUUUAAAUUUUGAACAAGAUGGAAGUCAAAACCACCCAAUAGGUUUUCCUGAAAUUACAGACGAAGACUUAUCAAGCGUUAUUCCUCAAGAAGAAAUGUUGAAGGGGAGCGCGCUUAAAGGGGCCAAGAAACUUCCCUCUGAGGCAGCUGCAG